rnacentral:ncRNA from 1 species
CCCGAAACCAAACAAGCUACCCAAGGAUAGCUAAAGAGCACACCCGUCUCUGUGGCAAAAUAGUGGGAAAAUCUAUGGGUAGUGGCGACAAACCUAUCGAGCCUGGUGAUAGCUGG